AACGCACCUUGCGCUCCUUGGUAUUCCGAGGAGCAUGCCUGUUUGAGUGUCAUUAAAUUCUCAACCUCACCAGUUUUGUAAUGAGACGAGUGAAGGCUUGGAUGUGGGGGUUUUGCAGGCUGCCUCAGUGCUGGUCUGCUCCCCUGAAAUGCAUUAGCGAGCUCUUGUUGAGCCUCCGUCUAUUGGUGUGAUAAUUAUCUACGCCGUGGAUUUGGACUCAUGCUUGCUUCUAACCGUCCGCAAGGACAACUUAUUUGACCAAUUUGACCUCAAAUCAGGUAGGACUACCCGCUGAACUUAA
rnacentral:misc_RNA from 1 species